rnacentral:rRNA from 1 species
AAAUAAUUUAAUCCUUUCGGGAUGGCAGCAGUCGGGAAUUAUUGCACAAAGGGGCGGAAGCCCUGUUCAAGCACCGCUGCUUUAAGUAUGAAUGUCUUUCGGGUUAUAAACCUCUUUUAGCAGGGAAGAAGCGAGAAUGACGGUACCUGCAGAAAAAGCACCGGGCUAACUACGUGCCAGCAGCCGCGGUAAUACGUAGGGUGCAAGCCUCCCCCCGAAUUAUUGGGCGUAAAGAGCUCGUAGGCGGUCUGUCGCGUCUGCUGUGAAAUCCCGAGGCUCAACCUCGGGCUUGCAGUGGGUACGGGCAGACUAGAGUGCGGUAGGGGAGAUUGGAAUUCCUGGUGUAGCGGUGGAAUGCGCAGAUAUCAGGAGGAACACCGAUGGCGAAGGCAGAUCUCUGGGCCGUAACUGACGCUGAGGAGCGAAAGGGUGGGGAGCAAACAGGCUUAGAUACCCUGGUAGUCCACCCCGUAAACGUUGGGAACUAGUUGUGGGGUCGGGUCCACGGAUUCCGUGACGCAGCUAACGCAUUAAGUUCCCCGCCUGGGGAGUACGGCCGCAAGGCUAAAACUUAAAGGGAUUGACGGGGACCCGCACAAGCGGCGGAGCAUGCUUAAAGGGUCGAUGCAACGCGAAGAACCUUACCAGGGCUUGACAUACACGAGAACGGGCCCAGAAAUGGUCAACUU